UCCUUCUUUUAACUAUCGUGUUGAAUCCAGGCCUUUUUCUGCUUGGCCUUAGCCUUAGAUGAUGGCAAGCUGGAGGAAGAGCGGGAGAAUUAGAAGUUGUAAGGUGUCCAGGUCUUCGAUUCAAGAGCCCACCUCAACUGCUUCAUGAUGCCACUAUCUCUGUGCCUCCCGCGCACGAAGAUGAAGAAGAUGAUGAUGAGGAGGAAACACAUAUUUGAGGAGAACUGACUGCUUUGAGCAAAAUUAGAAUGAAGCGUCUCAUUUCCAUUUCCAGUGAUAUAAAUGGUAUGAACCAACUAAGAUGGUAUCAUCAUUCAGUGGGUGAAGAUCACACCUUCAGACACAGUAGCAGUGUGAGCUGUGAGGACCAUAGGAAAGGAGGCAGAUGCCUGGAAGGAAGGAGUGAGUGCUCUUGCCCAGAUGACUGGGGAGAUAAUCUUUGCAGCACAACUGUCCCAAGGGGGUCUAUGGAGCUGGCUGCUCUUCAGAAUGUCAGUGUGUGGAGGAGAACACCCUGGAAUGCAGUGCCAAAAAUGGCACUUGCACCUGCAAAUCUGGUUACCAAGGCAACGGAUGCCAGAAAGCCUGCUCUGCUGGCCUCUGGGGACUGGAGUGCCAGCUCUCCUGUGGACCCUGUGAGAAUGAAAGUCAGUGCAACAAAAGAACUGGAAACUUCAAUUGUCCUCCUGGUUACACAGGAAAAGCCUGUACCACACGUAAGUCAUUAACUUAGACAGGAUACCAAAAAAGUCAGUAAAGCUGUUAGCUUUACAAAUGCUCCUUUUUUUUUUCUCUAA
rnacentral:lncRNA from 1 species